UGUUCUCGAACUUGAGAGAGUUCAGAGAAGGGCUACAAAAUUAAUAAAGGGGAUGGAAGGCAUGAGCUAUGAAGAUCGCCUCAGGAAAUUACAUUUAUUUACCUUAGAGAAG